rnacentral:rRNA from 1 species
GACGAACGCUGGCGGCGUGCUUAACACAUGCAAGUCGAGCGGUAAGGCCCUUUCGGGGGUACACGAGCGGCGAACGGGUGAGUAACACGUGGGUGACCUGCCCUCAGCUCUGGGAUAAGCCUGGGAAACCGGGUCUAAUACCGGAUAUGACUCCAUGACGCAUGUUGUGGGGUGGAAAGCCUUGUGCGGCUGAGGAUGGGCCCGCGGCCUAUCAGCUUGUUGGUGGGGUGAUGGCCUACCAAGGCGACAACGGGUAGCCGGCCUGAGAGGCGACCGGCCACACUGGGACUGAGACACGGCCCAGACUCCUACGGGAGGCAGCAGUGGGGAAUCUUGCGCAAUGGGCGAAAGCCUGACGC